GAUAGGUACAGUAAAAACGGAACGCAUUGGAAUAACAGUUUGAUGGGACGUUGCAGGGAUAUUGUUUAUAUUGAAUUGCAAAGUUGAAUGAGAAGUGCAGAUUAAGAUAGCGCAGAUUUUUGUAAAAUUACUAGUGAAUUUCUUAUAUAUUAAUUACGUACAUUCAUUAGCUUCAUUUAAGAGGAAACUACUCGCCGGAGGGCAAUCAUGCACUUAACCUAAAGUAAUUAGUAAACUUUAUGAGUUAAUGUGUACGGUUCAUAGUA